rnacentral:rRNA from 1 species
UACAGAGGGGGCAAGCGUUAUUCGGAAUUAUUGGGCGUAAAGGGCGCGUAGGCGGCCUGGCAAGUGGAAGGUGAAAUCCCACGGCUCACCCGUGGAACUGCUGGGUAUACUGGCGAUCUUGGGCCAACUAGGGGCAGCUGGAACAAGCGGUGGAGCGGUGAAAUGCGUAGAUAUCGCUUGGAACGCCGAAGGUGAAAACAGGCUGCUGGGGUUGUGCCGACGCUGAGACACGAAAGCCAGGGGAGCAAACGGG